UCCUGGUUAACCCAGGCAGUCUCACUAGAGUUCCCACCCUAACGUGUUGGCAACUAGUGAUAAGGGUUGCGCUCGUUGCGGGACUUAACCCAACACCUCACGGCACGAGCUGACGACAGCCAUGCAGCACCUGUGCAGAGGCCCCGAAGGGAAUCACCAUCUCUGGUGACGUCCUCUGCAUGUCAAGCCUGGGUAAGGUUCUUCGCGUUGCAUCGAAUUAAACCACAUGCUCCACUGCUUGUGCGGGUCCCCGUCAAUUCUUUUGAGUUUCACCCUUGCGAGUGUACUCCCCAGGCGGCAUACUUAACGCGUUAGCUCCGGCACAGCCAGGGUUGAGUCCAGCUACACCAAGUAUGCAUCGUUUACGGCAAGGACUAC
rnacentral:misc_RNA from 1 species